GCGGGGUUGGGGGGAGCAGACUCCCUAAGGGACUUUGGAAGCAGGUCCCAGGGCCUUGAGGGCUCAGGCACGGCGGGAACAGGUCGCCGAUGUCCGGCUGGUGCCACCGGAGUCCGGAGGCCCUUCAGAUGGAUCCCGCGGGCCGCGUGCUUGGGGGUGUCGCCUGCACGGGGUCGGGGGCAGAGGCCAGGAAGUGUCUAACGGAUUGCUUCGCUGUCCCCAUAGGCUCACGGGGUCCUGGGCCGGGCUAGCAUCGCCUUGGCCCCGAGCGCAGCGGGACCUCGGGGCAGCCGCGUCCCUGCGCGCGUCUGCAGGUCGUGCCCUGUCCCCUGCGGGUCCCGCCCCCUCCUCAGCGUCGGUUGUAUGUAGUGGCUCCGAGGUAUUUCUGAAAUAGCAAACCUGGUGUACCACAAUCCAGCUGCGUGUUCUCUUACAUUUCAUGGAUUCAUCAGUCCUCCCGGGCGAUCCAGCCUUGAAGGGGAAACCAAGCCUCCAUAAGAGUCACACAAAAGACCGCAUUUUCUUCAGGACACUACUGUGGCCGGCUCCAGAGAGAUUGCAGGUGCUCUGGGAGCUGAGCCCGUGCGGCUGCACCGGCCUCUACCGCUGGCUUUGCCACGGUUUACCUUCCAGCUGCUGCUGCUGUCUGAUGCUGAGGGCGCUGAUUCGGGACACAUCCCCAUCUUCUCUUACUGCGACCAAAGCCACUGGCUCCGUCUCCCACCACUGCUGA
rnacentral:lncRNA from 12 species